rnacentral:rRNA from 1 species
UUGGGUUAAGUCCCGCAACGAGCGCAACCCUUGAUCUUAGUUGCCAGCAUUCAGUUGGGCACUCUAAGGUGACUGCCGGUGACAAACCGGAGGAAGGUGGGGAUGACGUCAAAUCAUCAUGCCCCUUAUGACCUGGGCUACACACGUGCUACAAUGGACGGUACAAAGGGCUGCAAACCCGCGAGGGGGAGCCAAUCCCAGAAAACCGUUCUCAGUUCGGAUUGCAGGCUGCAACUCGCCUGCAUGAAGCCGGAAUCGCUAGUAAUCGUGGAUCAGCAUGCCACGGUGAAUACGUUCCCGGGCCUUGUACACACCGCCCGUCACACCACGAGAGUUUGUAACACCCGAAGUCGGUGAGGUAACCCUUGUGGAGCCAGCCGCCGAAGGUGGGACAGAUGAUUGGGGUGAAGUCGUAACAAGGUAACCACUUCCUGAGCCAUGAUCAAACUCUAAGCCGAAUUC